CUUCUUAUCCUCUCCACCAUUGAUUCCUAUGACCACUAACCUUAUUCACAUGAGAAUCCUCCCCAACCUUUUUGUCUUAUCCAAACCCUAACUUUUCUCCACUACACUCUCCCUUGCCAUUCCCACUCUCCCUUCAUUAGGCUUUUCUUUCUCAAUCCUAACAAUCAUUGAUGAUCAUGAUAUCCGAGCGAAAAGCUCCAGUCCCUUGAAGUUGAUCCUCCAACAUCAUCUUCACCCACAAAUAUCGGCAGGGCUUGAUGAAAACCACAUCAACUUGGAAAUCCAAAGUGUGAAUAGUCUCCAGUUCCUUGCUUCUCCUCCAAGAACCCAAGUACAUGUAGUUGUGAUGGAUCUAAGAAGCUACUGACAUUUUACAAAGAUCAUGGUCAAAAUCAGGACCAAAAUAUGCAUUGGAGACCCAAUGAUCACAAAUGCCAUCUUCCAUGUUGUAGUUGAGGAAUAAGGCCUGGACUGUAAAGUUAUUAUAUUCAAGUACAAAAAGAAAAAGAACAAUUGAAGAAAUAUUGGUCACCGCCAGGAAUUGUUGCUUAACAACAUUGAUGGUGAUAUACCAUUUUUAUAUAUCAAAAGUGGAAAUAGUUGGAGCCUUGAAAUGAGGAGAAUGCUACAAUUAUAUCUAUAUCAAAAUCAUGCACCUUCUCGACGAAAUCAUGGAGGUCAUGAUGCAUUUAGUUAGGUAGUUGUUAUUCUUAUGUUGUGACUAAUUUGUCGUAUGUGUUGCUUGCUUGUGAUACUUACUUUUGAAUUCUACUAGGUACCACUUAUGUUACUUAUGUGCGUUUUCACUUAUCUAUGAUAUGAAUUUUGAUACUUAUUUAAU